GCAGGCUCGUUUUCUUCGAGACUUCAAACUCGGCAUUGGUGGAUGGAUCACAGAAAUCAUUGUGGCAACAUCCAUGACGGGGUAAGGAGACGACGGCUCAACUGCAGGUCAACGGAGCCUGUGGCCGGCGCAGCGCGGCGAGUGAAAGCGGAGGCGGAGGUGGAGCGAUGUACAUCAGGGAGCGGCUCAGUGGCGAGCAAACCAGCAAGGUGGAACUGCGGCAGGGCGAGGUCUGGAUGUGCCACGCGCGAGGCAAAGGCAAGGUCGGCCCGGAAGUGCUGAACGGCAAGCCGCCGGAGCUCGGCAGAUCGGCCAUGGAGGCGAAGUUGCACAGGAGGAGACGCGCCGACGAGAGGUGGUCAGCAAGAUGAGUUCGCGACGGCGGAGACGCGCCAACCAGAGGAAAGCCGAGGUGGUUCGCGACGGCGGAGACGCGCCAACCAGAGGAAAGCCGAGGUGCUCGAGGCGAGCCGGCGUCGUCGUUAGUGGAGGUCGAGUCCGUGUAGAUGUAUCUCUGAUGAAUGAUGGUUUUCUUCUUCGUCUCUUCGCGUGCGCGGCCAAGUGUGUCCAGCUGUAACAGAAGACGACGCUCUUGGCGGCUCACGAUUUGACGUGCCUGUGAAACAAAUUGUAGCAGAAAACGACGCUUCCGGCGGCUCGUGUUUUGACGCGUCGUUCAAACUUUGUUCAAGCUCGAUAGAUGAACUCGUAAUCAAUAUAGAUCCUUCUGUUCUGAUUUUUUUCUCAUGGUGAUGAUGUGGAUCUUUCUGUGUCGGUUCUUCUUCAUCCGGCGAAUCUUCAAACUUCUCGAUCCCUGGUAGAGAUCCCUCCAAGAACACAAUUCCACCGUACGAUCAGCCCCACGGUGGGCGUCAACUGCCGU
rnacentral:lncRNA from 1 species